ACAAGCAGUGGGAGCACAGAGCAAUCUGUGUGACUGCGUACCUUUUGUAUAAUGGGUCAGCGACUUAUAUUCUGUAGCAAGGUUAACCGAAUAGGGGAGCCGAAGGGAAACCGAGUCUUAACUGGGCGUUAAGUUGCAGGGUAUAGACCCGAAACCCGGUGAUCUAGCCAUGGGCAGGUUGAAGGUUGGGUAACACUAACUGGAGGACCGAACCGACUAAUGUUGAAAAAUUAGCGGAUGACUUGUGGCUGGGGGUGAAAGGCCAAUCAAACCGGGAGAUAGCUGGUUCUCCCCGAAAGCUAUUUAGGUAGCGCCUCGUGAAUUCAUCUCCGGGGGUAGAGCACUGUUUCGGCAAGGGGGUCAUCCCGACUUACCAACCCGAUGCAAACUGCGAAUACCGGAGAAUGUUAUCACGGGAGACACACGGCGGGUGCUAACGUCCGUCGUGAAGAGGGAAACAACCCAGACCGCCAGCUAAGGUCCCAAAGUCAUGGUUAAGUGGGAAACGAUGUGGGAAGGCCCAGACAGCCAGGAUGUUGGCUUAGAAGCAGCCAUCAUUUAAAGAAAGCGUAAUAGCUCACUGGUCGAGUCGGCCUGCGCGGAAGAUGUAACGGGGCUAAACCAUGCACCGAAGCUGCGGCAGCGACACUGUGUGUUGUUGGGUAGGGGAGCGUUCUGUAAGCCUGUGAAGGUGUGCUGUGAGGCAUGCUGGAGGUAUCAGAAGUGCGAAUGCUGACAUAAGUAACGAUAAAGCGGGUGAAAAGCCCGCUCGCCGGAAGACCAAGGGUUCCUGUCCAACGUUAAUCGGGGCAGGGUGAGUCGACCCCUAAGGCGAGGCCGAAAGGCGUAGUCGAUGGGAAACAGGUUAAUAUUCCUGUACUUGGUGUUACUGCGAAGGGGGGACGGAGAAGGCUAUGUUGGCCGGGCGACGGUUGUCCCGGUUUAAGCGUGUAGGCUGGUUUUCCAGGCAAAUCCGGAAAAUCAAGGCUGAGGCGUGAUGACGAGGCACUACGGUGCUGAAGCAACAAAUGCCCUGCUUCCAGGAAAAGCCUCUAAGCAUCAGGUAACAUCAAAUCGUACCCCAAACCGACACAGGUGGUCAGGUAGAGAAUACCAAGGCGCUUGAGAGAACUCGGGUGAAGGAACUAGGCAAAAUGGUGCCGUAACUUCGGGAGAAGGCACGCUGAUAUGUAGGUGAAGUCCCUCGCGGAUGGAGCUGAAAUCAGUCGAAGAUACCAGCUGGCUGCAACUGUUUAUUAAAAACACAGCACUGUGCAAACACGAAAGUGGACGUAUACGGUGUGACGCCUGCCCGGUGCCGGAAGGUUAAUUGAUGGGGUCAGCGCAAGCGAAGCUCUUGAUCGAAGCCCCGGUAAACGGCGGCCGUAACUAUAACGGUCCUAAGGUAGCGAAAUUCCUUGUCGGGUAAGUUCCGACCUGCACGAAUGGCGUAAUGAUGGCCAGGCUGUCUCCACCCGAGACUCAGUGAAAUUGAACUCGCUGUGAAGAUGCAGUGUACCCGCGGCAAGACGGAAAGACCCCGUGAACCUUUACUAUAGCUUGACACUGAACAUUGAGCCUUGAUGUGUAGGAUAGGUGGGAGGCUUUGAAGUGUGGACGCCAGUCUGCAUGGAGCCGACCUUGAAAUACCACCCUUUAAUGUUUGAUGUUCUAACGUGGACCCGUGAUCCGGGUUGCGGACAGUGUCUGGUGGGUAGUUUGACUGGGGCGGUCUCCUCCUAAAGAGUAACGGAGGAGCACGAAGGUUGGCUAAUCCUGGUCGGACAUCAGGAGGUUAGUGCAAUGGCAUAAGCCAGCUUGACUGCGAGCGUGACGGCGCGAGCAGGUGCGAAAGCAGGUCAUAGUGAUCCGGUGGUUCUGAAUGGAAGGGCCAUCGCUCAACGGAUAAAAGGUACUCCGGGGAUAACAGGCUGAUACCGCCCAAGAGUUCAUAUCGACGGCGGUGUUUGGCACCUCGAUGUCGGCUCAUCACAUCCUGGGGCUGAAGUAGGUCCCAAGGGUAUGGCUGUUCGCCAUUUAAAGUGGUACGCGAGCUGGGUUUAGAACGUCGUGAGACAGUUCGGUCCCUAUCUGCCGUGGGCGCUGGAGAACUGAGGGGGGCUGCUCCUAGUACGAGAGGACCGGAGUGGACGCAUCACUGGUGUUCGGGUUGUCAUGCCAAUGGCACUGCCCGGUAGCUAAAUGCGGAAGAGAUAAGUGCUGAAAGCAUCUAAGCACGAAACUUGCCCCGAGAUGAGUUCUCCCUGACCCUUUAAGGGUCCUGAAGGAACGUUGAAGACGACGACGUUGAUAGGCCGGGUGUGUAAGCGCAGCGAUGCGUUGAGCUAACCGGUACUAAUGAACCGUGAGGCUUAACCUU
rnacentral:rRNA from 1 species